UAAACUGAAGAGUUUGAUCAUGGCUCAGAUUGAACGCUGGCGGCAGGCUUCAGACAUGCAAGUCGAGCGGAAACGACAAAGGUUUACCUUUGGGCGUCGAGCGGCGAACGGGUGAGUAACGCGUAGGAAUCUGCCCGAUAGCGGGGGAUAGCCCGGGGAAACCCGGAUUAAUACCGCAUACACCCCACGGGGGAAAGGCCGGGAUCUUCGGACCGGUCGCUAUCGGAGGAGCCUGCGUUGGAUUAGCUUGUUGGUAGGGUAACGGCCUACCAAGGCCACGAUCCAUAGCUGGUCUGAGAGGAUGAUCAGCCACACUGGAACUGAGACACGGUCCAGACU
rnacentral:rRNA from 1 species